rnacentral:lncRNA from 1 species
UUUAUUAUAAUUUUAAAUAUAUUUAAUGUAUAUAUAAAAAUUAUAAUAAUAAUAUAUAUAUUAUAUUAAUUAUUAUAUAUUUAUUAUAUAGCUGAAUUUUUUAUCCCGAAUUUUUAAUUGGUGAACAUAUAAUAUCCACAUAAAUCAUGUAUCCGAAUAAUUGUCGAAUCCGUUUUUUAGCUAUAUUUUUCAACGAAUUUAAAAAUUUAAAGAAGAAUUUUAUCCGAAUUAUAUCCAUACCGAAUUUUUGCCGAAUCCGAAUUAACUAACUAUGAUCUACCCAACCCGAGCCUGAUUUGAUUUUAUAUUAUAUAAUAUGUAUUAAUGUUUGAUUUGUAUCUUAAAAAUUUAGGUUUAAAUAUAAUAUGUUUUGAAAUAUAGAAAAGAGUAAUAAUUGUUUAUAAGUUUUCGGGUUCGGAUUUCGAAUUUUUGGUUGGAUUCAGGUUUGAGUAUAGAUUUUAAAAUCUAUUGAAUUCAGGUUUGGGUUAGAAAUUCAGGUUUGGUAGUUGGGUUCAGAUUUGAAUUUUUGAUAACCCGUCUCGAAUCUGACCCAUUGACAUAUAUUCUUACCCACCGUUCAGCCAUGCAUCCAUCUGCUCUAUCUUGUUUUC